UACGUAGGGUGCGAGCGUUGUCCGGAAUUAUUGGGCGUAAAGAGCUCGUAGGCGGUUCGGUAAGUCGGGUGUGAAAACUCUGGGCUCAACCCGGAGAGGCCACUCGAUACUGCCGUGACUUGAGUCUGGUAGGGGGAGCACGGAAUUCCUGGUGUAGCGGUGAAAUGCACAGAUAUCAGGAGGAACACCGGUGGCGAAGGCGGU
rnacentral:rRNA from 1 species